CGGAUUCCUCUUGAAACGUUACCAUUAACUGUCCUCACUGUGCUUCUCCGAUCCCAUUCAAUGUUGGAUUCGGGAACUUUCAAUCCUAUGCGGCUGCUCUCCGAUCUGUUGGGGGAAGGAGUUUUCGGGUAGGACAGAUGAUUCCGAAUAUGAAAACGGGCGGCUCUGACCUGGCUACUCACACUCGUAGAAAAGAGGGGCAGAAAAGGAAUUUCAGACAUAAUAUUAGUGUUAGUAAUGAUAGG
rnacentral:lncRNA from 1 species